AGUGAACGCUGGCGGCAGGCCUAACACAUGCAAGUCGAACGGCAGCACAGUAAGAGCUUGCUCUUACGGGUGGCGAGUGGCGGACGGGUGAGGAAUACAUUGGCAUCUACUUUUUCGUGGGGGUUAACGUAGGGAAACUUACGCUAAUACUGCAUACGACCUACGGGUGAAAGCAGGCGAACUUCGGACCUUGCGCGAUUGAAUGAGCCGAUGUCGGAUUAGCUAGUUGGCGGGGAAAAGGCACACCAAGGCGACGAUCCGUAGAUGGUCUGAGAGGAUGGACAGCCAGCCGGGAACGGAGGCACGGCCCAGACACCUGGAGGGAGAAGCAGUGGGGAAUAUUGGGGAAGGGGGGAAAGCGGAAUCCAGCCAUACCGGGGAAAUGAAGAAGGCCUUCGGGUGGGAGAGCCCUGUUGUUGGGAGAUAAAAACAGCAGGUUAAGCCGCCAAUGUUCUGACGGUACCCGAGGAAGAAGCCCCGGCUAACUUCGUG
rnacentral:rRNA from 1 species